UACGUAGGGUGCGAGCGUUGUCCGGAAUUAUUGGGCGUAAAGAGCUCGUAGGCGGUCUGUCGCGUCGGUCGUGAAAACUUGGGGCUUAACCCUGAGCUUGCGGUCGAUACGGGCAUGACUGGAGUUCGGCAGGGGAGACUGGAAUUCCUGGUGUAGCGGUGAAAUGCGCAGAUAUCAGGAGGAACACCGGUGGCGAAGGCGGGUCUCUGGGAAGUAACUGACGCUGAGAAGCGAAAGCGUGGGUAGCGAACAGG
rnacentral:rRNA from 1 species